rnacentral:rRNA from 1 species
CUACGGGAGGCAGCAGUGGGGAAUAUUGCACAAUGGGCGAAAGCCUGAUGCAGCAACGCCGCGUGAGUGAUGAAGGCUUCGGGUUGUAAAACUCUGUCUUUGGGGACGAUAAUGACGGUACCCAAGGAGGAAGCCACGGCUAACUACGUGCCAGCAGCCGCGGUAAU